UUCAGGCUGCUUGAGCACUACCUGUCCUGAGCUCCUUGUGUGGUGUUGUGCAACUAACUGCACCUUCUUUCACCAUAAGCCCCACGUUAUUAGAUUGGCUUUACUGGUGUGAGCAAUCGGACCGAGUUUGGUUCAGGAAAAACAACAGGGGAGAGACAGUGUCUGGAGGCCCCACACCUGCUAAUUAAUCUGCAUAAGCAGAGAAGGUCAUGAUGGUGUUUCUGUAAUGGCAUCUUCAUAAGAUGAGAGAAAGUCAAGAAGAGAGGAAUUUGACCAUUACUCCCGGAAAUAUUCCGAAGUGUCCCUUAAUGAGGGUUGGGAUUUGACUCUUCAGGAGUUAAAUAGGUGACAGGAGCCUGAGGCCAGGGACUAGUCACUGCUGUACGCCUCAACCUAGGACUGGACAGCUCAUGUCUCAAACACACUGGUGGCUCAAUAUAUAUUUGUUAAAUCAAUGAAAUUUUUCUUUGUUAACCAACUUAGUAAGCCUUUUUGAACUGAAAAUGAACUAUGUAUUGAAACUACCAAGUUUAUAAAGGCUUAAUAGAAUUGCUUUAUAAUUGUAUUUUAGAUAAGACCUAAACUAUGAAAGCGAUGCUUUCCAAAAACUUGUAUUUUUCCACAAAAUGCUAUAUUCUGGUGUUCUGAAAAAGAUCUCUGUAAAUGAUAAUCUUCAACAAAAGUUCUUAGAUAUGAAGCCUGUCUUUAUGACACCUGUCCUACAAUACCAUCAAUAAC